GUGGGGAAUAUUGGACAAUGGGCGCAAGCCUGAUCCAGCCAUGCCGCGUGAGUGAUGAAGGCCCUAGGGUUGUAAAGCUCUUUCACCGGUGAAGAUAAUGACGGUAACCGGAGAAGAAGCCCCGGCUAACUUCGUGCCAGCAGCCGCGGUAAUACGAAGGGGGCUAGCGUUGUUCGGAAUUACUGGGCGUAAAGCGCACGUAGGCGGACAUUUAAGUCAGGGGUGAAAUCCCGGGGCUCAACCCCGGAACUGCCUUUGAUACUGGGUGUCUGGAGUAUGGAAGAGGUAAGUGGAAUUCCGAGUGUAGAGGUGAAAUUCGUAGAUAUUCGGAGGAACACCAGUGGCGAAGGCGGCUUACUGGUCCAUUACUGACGCUGAGGUGCGAAAGCGUGGGGAGCAAACAGGAUUAGAUACCCCAGUAGUCC
rnacentral:rRNA from 1 species